rnacentral:rRNA from 1 species
UACGGAGGGGACUAGCGUUGUUCGGAAUUACUGGGCGUAAAGCGCACGUAGGCGGAUUUGUAAGUCAGGGGUGAAAUCCCGGGGCUCAACCUCGGAACUGCCUUUGAUACUGCAAAUCUCGAGUCCGGAAGAGGUGAGUGGAAUUCCUAGUGUAGAGGUGAAAUUCGUAGAUAUUAGGAAGAACACCAGUGGCGAAGGCGGGUCUCUGGACAGUUCCUGACACUGAGGCACGAAGGCC